AUCCAUGUGGCGCAGUUGGUAAAGCGCUGGUUGUUUCCCCGAGGAGUCCAGGGUUCAAAUCCCAGUGUGGAUA
rnacentral:tRNA from 1 species